GUAUUGUGAAAGAUAAAGUAGCGCACUUAAAUUAUGGUUGAUAAAGUAGCGCACUUAAAUUAUGGUUAUUUUUAUUUUUCUCAUUCCCUGACAGUAGAAGGAAAUGCUCAAUUUAAGGUGAAUUAUGAACUUCGCCUUAAUGAAUCAUGAGCCCCUCUCACAAAUUUUAGUUCAGAGAGACACUCAAAUCAUAUACAAGUUCAACAUGAA
rnacentral:misc_RNA from 1 species